rnacentral:lncRNA from 1 species
CAGAGCCCUCGAGAGGGUAUGAGGGCUUUUAUGGGAACCAUGGGAUGAAUAUUAACAAACAGAUCAUGUUGUUAUUGCUUCAUGACCUGGGCUUCACAGCCAUGUGUGACCUGAGUGCCCCAAACUCUGAGCUGAUGCCUUCUGAUUUCUAUGGACCAGUUUCUUCCAUGGUGUCUGAUUUCUGUGGUGGGGAUCUGUUGCUGAGUCAGUGUGUGGAGGUGAGCUGAGCGUCUCACCUGGGUCAGCAUGCUCAUAGCAUGAGUAUCAGCAUGAGGAAACUCCUGAUAGGGGGAAGAAGCUUUUUCUCCUCCACAUAAAUAAAAUAAUUAUUUAUGCUGCUUUCAGCUCUGUUGCUGCUUUCCUGAAGCAAAAUGCCUUCCUCCUGUACCACUGUCCCAUCAGGAAACUCGGGAUGUCCUUGAGACUUCAGUCUCAAGAGCACGGACCACAAUGACUAGACAAGAGGGAAAGGCUUCAGGCUGAGGGUAGAUUUGGAUGAGAUGUUUUAUUUACAGCAGUGUCUGGUUGCAGUACCAACCUGGCCUUUCUUUACCUCAGCUUAGCACAGAAAACUCAUGCAAGCUGGAAAGGCUUUACCAUUAUUUCCCAAACACAGAAAUAUGUGUCUGCAGUGUGCUGCAUUUUAGAACAGCAUCUACUCAGAUGGUGGGGAAUUCAUCACAGCCCAGGGUGAGUAAUUCCAAUGGCUCAUUACUCUUUCAAUUACAAACUGGCACUUUCUUUGCAGUCUGAAUUUGUCUAAUUUUGGUUCCAGCCAUU